UACGAAGGGGGCUAGCGUUGCUCGGAAUCAGUACGUGGGCGUAAAGCGGCACCGUAGGCGGAUUGAUUAAGUCAGGGGGUGAAAUCCUGGAGCUCAACUACCAGAACUGCCUUUGAUGACUGACGGUCUUGAGUUCGGGAGAGGUGAGUGGAAACUGCGAGUGUAGAGGUGAAAUUCGUAGAUAUUCGUCAAGAACACCAGUGG
rnacentral:rRNA from 1 species